UUACUUUGCAAUCAAGAAUCAAGUGGCCAAUUUGAUCAAAACAACAAAGCAACAAUGAAUUAAGCACAAAAUUGCAUAAAUACUGAUUAAUAAAAGAAUAACAUAAAGGUUCAGAUCUCCCAAUCCAUAAACAACCUAAGUUUCACCUUAUUCUUCAACUAGAAAAAGGGUUUCAGCCACUCAUGGCUGAAACUAACAUAAAAGAAAAGAAAGAAAGCAAAAAGAAGGAGAAAAAGGGCCAAUUGGCCUGCUGGUGUGGUGCGGCUGCUGGUGCAGCUUCUGCCGAGGAUGUAUGAUGAUCCAAAGAUACUUGAUCUGCUGGUUUGCAUGCCCUUUUAUAGCUGAAGAGGCUGCCCUAGGUUUCCUUGUUGAGAUGGGACUCCUUUUCACAAUUGGAGUUUGAAUUCUUGGAAGGUAAUUGUAUUUUGAUGAGAUUUGCCUUCCUAAAUAUGUGGGAUUGAGUGCUGAGGUGUCUUUAGGGUUUGCUGAGCUGUCCACACGUGUUUGGGAGGGAAAACACUUCUUGAGCAUUUGAAUUUUGAUUUUUCUGCAAUUUACUGUCUGCUGGUUGCUGGUGCUGUUUGCCCGGGUUGUUUGGGCAAACAGCUCUGGCAAACAGUCUGUUUUCCCUGUUGCCUGCGCACUGCUGGCCUGUUUGCCCAGUCUAUUUGGGCAAACAGUCUGAUUUUUGUGCUCUGCUUCUGCCCUGCUGAUCUGUUUGCCCAGUCUGUUUGGGCAAACAGUCUAGUCAAACAGCAGAUUGUUCCUCUUCCACUUCAG
rnacentral:lncRNA from 1 species